UUGACCAGUCUUGUUUUGUCAUAUUACUAGGGUUGGUUUUCUGGUUCCUUCUCAUUUGGGUAGGCUCUGUCAGAGAGAAGGUCUAAGGCUGAAGGCUAUUGUUCAAAUUUUUUUUGUCCCACAGGGUGUUCCCUUGAUGUAGUACUCUCUGCCUUUUCCUGUGGAUGUGGCUUCCUGUGAGCUGAACCACAGUGACUGUUGUCUCUCUUUUGGGUCUAGCCACCCAGCUAAUCUACCUGGCUCCAGGCUGGUACUGAGGGUUGUCUACAGAGUCCUGUGAUGUGAACCAUCUAUGGGUCUCUUAGCCAUGGUUACCAGUGCCUGUUCUGGUGGAGGUGGCAUAGGGUGCAGUGGACUCCAUGGGGGUCCUUAGCUUUGGUGGCUUAAUGCUCUAUUUUUGUGCUGGUUGGCCUCCUCCCACCAGAAAGAGAUAGCACUUUCCAGAAAGCAUUAGCUAUAGUAGUGUGGAGAGGAACCAGAGGUGGCUGUGGCCCUAGAACUCCCAAGAUUAUAUGUCCUUUGCCUUCCACUACCAAGGUGGGUAGGGAAGGACUAUCAGAUGGGGAUGGGGCUAGGUGUGUCUAAGCUCAGACUCUCCUUGGGCAGGUCUUGCUGCAGCUGCUGUGGUGGAGGGGGUUGAGAUUCCCAGGUCACUGGAUUUGCGUACGUAGGAGGAUUACGGCUGCCUCUGCUGAGUCAUGCAGGUUGUCAGGGAAGUGAAGGAAAGCCAGCAGUCACAGGCCUCACCCAGCUCCCAUACAAACUGAAAGGCUAGUCUCACUCCCACGGUGCCACCCACAAUAGCCCAAAGUCUGUUUCCAGGCGGAGGGCAAGUUGGGCUUGAAAACUUGCCCAAGGCUUUCCGCCUCCCAGCUGCAAAAGAAAAGGGCUUUAGUUCUUUCCCCGCCUGUGAAGUCUGCAAGCCGGUUUCGCACUCUCCCCAGAUUCUGGCCAGGAGGCUUCUGGCCCCGUUCAAAUUGUUACAAAGUUCAGCUAGAGAAGUCCUUCUCCCUGUGGAGUCUUACCCCCUGCUCCUCUGGCCGCCCUCCUGAUGGAUCCCUGUGGUGCCAGGCAGGAAUGGGCUGCUUGGGGAUCCAGCGAGCUCCCAGUGCCUUUCUGCUACUUCCUCUACCCCUGUAUUUCACUCAGCGCGACUCUAACUUGUCUCAGUUCCAGAGACAGAGUCUCACUAUGUUUUGCAGGCCAGCCUUGAACUUGUGGCUUCAAGCGAUCCUCCCCACCUCAGGCUUUCAAAGUGCUAAGAUUACAGGUGUGAGCAACCAUGUCCAGCCAGUUUCACAUAUUUUCAUGAGGAUGGUGAUUGUCUUUUCACUUCCAGAUGUAAGACUCCCUUGAGUAUUUCUUAUGGGAUUUCAUGUAAGGCCUGUCUAGUGGUGAUAGAUGUCCUUAGUUUUAGUUUGUCUGUGAAAUAUUUUAUUUCUCCUUCAUUUGUGGAGGAUAGCUUUUCUAGACAUAAUAUUGUUGGCUUUUUUUUUUUCCUUUCAGUACUUUGAUGAUAUCAACCCAUUCUCUCCUAGUCUGUAAGUUUUAUGCUGAGCAAUCUGCUAUUAAUCUAAUGGGGUUUACCUUAUAUGUGACUUGACAUUUUUUUCUUGCUGCUUUUAGCAUUCUUUAUUGUUGCCUUUUGAUAAUUUGACUACAAUGUGCCUUGGAGAUGACUUGUUUGGCUUGAAUCUAUUUGUGGUUCUUUUAGCUUCCUGGACCUGGAUGUCCACCCUUCCCUCAUGACUUGUGAAGUUUUCUAUUCAUUACAUAUGUUUCCCUCAUCUUUUCCCUUCUCUUCUCCUUUUGGAAUGCCCAUAAUAUGAUUACUUGUUCACUUAAUAGUUUUCCAUAAAUCCUAUAGGCUUUCUUCAUUCCUUUUUAUUCUUUUUACUUUGUCUGCCUAUAUUAUUUCAAAAUACUUGAAGUUUAGAGAUUCUUUCUUCUGCUUGGUUUAGUCUUGUUGCAGCCCUCAAUUGUGUUUUUCAUUCAUUGAAUACUUCAACUGUAGGAUUUGUUUGGUUCUUUGUUGGAUUUCUCAUUCAAAUCAUGAAUUGUUUUCCUGAUUUUGUUGAAUUAUGUAUCUGUAUUCUCUUGAAUCUGAGUUUCCUUAGGAUUAUUAUUUUGAUUUUUUGGCAUUUCCUAUAUUUUGUUAUAAUUGGGGUCUGUUACUGGAGAAUUAUUGUUUUCCUUUGAACGUGUCAUGUUUCUUUACUUUUUCAUGUUUGAUAUGUCCUUACAUUGAUUUCUACGCAUCUGGUGGAAAAGUCAGCUCUUCCAAUUUUAUGGAGGUUUCAUAGGGAAAGACUUAUUUGUAUAAAUGAGUUGUGGGGUGUCAGUUCAGUGGAGUGCAUUGGCCUUCAUUCUAGCUGGAAGGAGACUAGUGUGCUAUCUUUAAAGUUUCUUCAGCUGCAAUCCACACUAGUGAUGUUUCUCAGUGGCCUAGAUUGAGAAAGUAUGUGGCAACUGGGGUGGGCUCACCAGGCUAUUUUUCAAGUUGAGGGCAGAUGCCUGCACAUGGUGGAUCAGUCAGCUUGGAGUCUGGCUUGCUGGAGUUGAAGCCACGGAGCUUUUACUUUGGCUAGGAACAUGGGCAUGUGGUUGCUCAGCCUAGGGACGUGUCUGCCAAGGGCAGCCCAUGGUGCUGUUUCUCACGCCCAGAAUGCAGGCACAAGGCUGCAUGGCUGGCCUAGGGGCACAUUUGCUGAUAGUGGCCCACAGGGCUGUUUAUCAUCAGGCCUAGGGCACAGGUGCAAGUCUGCUUGGCAGGCCAGAACAUGUGCCUAUGAGAAGCAUCCUAUGGGGCUGUUUUUCAGGCCUGGUAUGCAGACGCACAGCUGGUCAGCUGGCCUGGAGGCAUGUUUGGUAGGGACACCUCACAGGGCUGUUUCUCAGGCCUGGGACAUGGUCAUACAGCAUCUCAGCUAGCCUGGGUAUGUGUCUGCUGAGGGUGGUCCACAGGACUGUUUCUCUGGCUCAGGACACAGGCACAUAGGUGCUCAGCCAGCCUGGGAGCAGCCCAUGGAGCUGCUUCUCAAGCCCAGUAUGUGGGUGCAAGGCUGCUCAGCUAGCCUGGGAUCAUGUCUAUUAGGGGUAGCCCAUGGGGCCAUUUCUCAGGUCCAGUUCAUGGGCACACAGCUGCUCAGCAGGCUUGGGGGGUAUGUCUGCCAGGGGUGGGCACAGGGCUGUUUCUCAAGCCCAUGACAUGGCUGCAUGACUGUUUAGCUGGGCCAGCGGUGUUUCUGGAGGGAAGGGGGUGAAAGUAUCUUUAUUUCAUACUGGUAGCGUUAUGAAUUUUAUUUUGCAACUCUGGGAGUGAGAAAUAUUCCAUCCCUUUAUUUUACUAAAUUCAUCUGUACAAGGUCCUAAUCCUGCCAGAUUUAAAAGAAAUUUAAUCUCUCUCAGCCUAAAUCUAACCUGCUUGGUGAGUCAUAAAGCAAUUACUUGGAAUUGCCUUUGAAAAUAAGAAAUACUGCAUAUUUAAACAUAGUUCCUGUAUUGUAGGAAUUAGUAACCUCAUUAGGGAUUCAAAAAUACACACAUAGGAAGUUUGAGCAACCUAAGAAUAGAAAAAUAACAUCACAAAGGGAGGGAUACUUAAAUAUUACAAUGCAUGAUACUGGCUCAGAAGGAAGAUGCCACCAGGUGCUAGAAUGGCCUGGAUCACAGAACUGUUUAUCUGACUCGUAAGCAUGAAUAAGAUUUUAACAGACGAGAAGGGAAUCCAGGUGUGCGAAAUAACCUAAAGCAAGGCUUGGAACUAAGACAAGAAUUGUGUUCAAGGCCCAAUGAACUGACCUGGCUGGAAGAAAAUGUUCAUAUUGUAUAAGGCAGGAAUUUGGGAUACUUUGCAUGUCAAGGAGUUUGAAUUUUAUCCUAUAAUGAAUGGCAAGUUAUUAAAAGAUUAUGAGCAGAGUGA